rnacentral:rRNA from 1 species
UUUCGCAAUGCCCGAAAGGGUGACGAAGCGACGCCGCGUGAGCGAAGAAGGCCCUAGGGUUGUAAAGCUCUGUCAGGAGUUAGGAAAUGCAAGGGUGUUAAUAGCGCCUUUGCUUGACUAAGGCUCCAGAGGAAGCCACGGCUAACUCUGUGCCAGUAGCCGCGGUAAUACAGAGGUGGCAAGCGUUGUUCGGUAUUAUUGGGCGUAAAGAGCACGUAGGUGGUUUUGUAAGUCAGAUGUGAAAGCCUUCUGUUCAAAGGAAGAACGGCAUCUGAAACUGCGGAUCUUGAGUGUAGGAGGGGAGAGUGGAACUUCUGGUGGAGCGGUGAAAUGCGUAGAUAUCAGAAGGAACGUCGGCGGCGAAAGCGACUCUCUGGCCUAUUACUGACACUGAGUGUGCGAAAGUUAGGGGAGCAAACGGGAUUAGAUACCCCGGUAGUCCUAACCGUAAACGAUGGGCACUAAGUAGAGGGGUUUUA